GCACUUUUUCUUUCGGCGUUUCGGACCUAUAUUGCAUCCGUUCCUCGUGGAACUAUGGCGAUAAACGCGCAUGAAAUAAGCGGACCGGACCCGGGGGCGGUACCCGGCGGCUCCACCAGCCCCCCGAGAGCACGGGAUCAUGGGGCCGAAACAGGAUCGACGGACGUGUAAAGAUGGCCGCUUUCGCUCGGCGGACUGCCACCGUUAUCGGCGUAAACAGUACAAUUGCAAACGACAAUCGUGCUCCGGUUCGACUGGCUGCCUAGCGCGGUCCGAAAAACCGAAAUCUCAAGUCCGGGAUCCUAAGCCGGUCCCGGCGGGGUCGGCAGGCACCUGGCAACAGAAGCCUGCCACA
rnacentral:tmRNA from 1 species